AUACAUUUCAAAAUUUUAAAUACAAAAGGGGAAAUAACUCUCAUAUGGAAUCUCUAUACGGCUUCGGUCAAAAUAAAACAGAACAUCCUGAAGAUGUAACGAGCAAUUUGGAAAAAUAAAUUUGUCAGUUUCUUAUACGGUUGCGAAGCCUUAGAGAUAACAAGAAAAACAGUGUUCGGGGAGAUAACUCUUAUAUGGAUGAGUAUUCGGUUUCGCAGUGUCAGUUUCAAAAGCGUAUAAACUGUUCGAUAUCAUAUUCCAAAUAUCUAAGCGACAUCUUGCAAAACAAAAAAACAGCGAAGGAAAAAAAUUUGGUGGAAGAAAAAAAAUAAAUAAUUAAAAACCAAUUGUUCAGAGAAC
rnacentral:lncRNA from 1 species